rnacentral:tRNA from 1 species
CAGAAGAUAGUUUAAUAAAAAUGCUAGUUUUGGGGGCUGGCGAUGAGGGGUUAUGGCCUUCUCUUUUGA